GGCUGAAAAAGCACGAGUGUCCGCACUAUGACAAAAGAAAAGCGGCGUCUCCUGAAAACACCACCAUGUUCCCCUAUGAGUCUGGUGAGCCAGGACACUAAGAAACUGCAGGAAACGAGAGAGUUCUCGGGGUGGGGGUGUCCAUGGAUGAAGCACCGAACAGACUGUCCGGAGCCCGCAAGGCCGGCGCCCAGCCACUCAACACCACCGAAGCCGCCGCUUACCUUUCGCGGGGUCACCUCCUCUCCGCGCCCGAGACGCCCCGCCCCGCUUCACCGCCCCGCCUGCUAGAGAGAGCGGCGGAGCGCGCCCGGCCCGGCGCCACAGCGUCCCCUGUCUUCCGGAGGCUGCGGCGCAGCGGCGCGGGGCUGCGGGGACCCAUCCAGCGCUAGCCCUUACGGCUCUGAGGACCUCGCGCCCGUCCUUGGGGUCUGCGGGCUGGAGUGUGCAAGGGACGUUUUUGCUUUCUUCCCUUUUUGACCUUUAGUUUUCCACCUCCCAACUUCAAAUUACCUUCCAGUUCGGUGUGUAUGUUUGUAUAAAUAAAAGAAGACAUCUCCUAGAAGUAUGUUUA
rnacentral:sRNA from 1 species